GACGAACGCUGGCGGCGUGCUUAACACAUGCAAGUCGAACGGUAAGGCUCCAGCUUGCUGGGGUACACGAGUGGCGAACGGGUGAGUAACACGUGGGUGACCUGCCCUGCACUUCGGGAUAAGCCUGGGAAACUGGGUCUAAUACCGGAUAGGACCAUGGUGUGGAUACUGUGGUGGAAAGUUUUUUCGGUGUGGGAUGGGCCCGCGGCCUAUCAGCUUGUUGGUGGGGUAAUGGCCUACCAAGGCGGCGACGGGUAGCCGGCCUGAGAGGGUGGACGGCCACAUUGGGACUGAGACACGGCCCAGACUCCUACGGGAGGCAGCAGUGGGGAAUAUUGCACAAUGGGCGGAAGCUUGAUGCAGCGACGCCGCGUGGGGGAUGAUGGCCUUCGGGUUGUAAACUCCUUUCACCAUCGACGAAGGGUUUCUGACGGUAGAUGGAGAAGAAGCACCGGCUAACUACGUG
rnacentral:rRNA from 1 species